ACAGGUGCUUUGAGGUAAAACGUGGAUGAAUUUUCCUUAACCAGACUGAUGUCACAAACAAGAUAGCUAAAAACUGCCUGAGGAUAUCUUCAAAUGAAGUUAUAUUAAGAUUGUGUCCAAUGUUCUUUAUUACAAGUUACAAAAGCUCAAAACACAUUUGGGACCAAGUCUGACGAUCUAGUCUCACACAGCUGUGCCAAAUGGCCGCAAAUGGCACUCAGACCACGAAUGUUGCCAGCAGAGCCCAUCUGUUAAGUAACAGAAUAAAUCAGAUGCUGCGAAUUUCCAGUGAACUCGGGGACUGAAAACACUGAGAAGAAGCAAAUAAAGGAUCCUCGAAGACAUGAGACCUGAGGAAACGUUGCUACCAAUGAUCCUGUUCGAUGAGCAUCUAUGUGAAUGAUGAUUGAAGAUUCAUGCUCCCGUUUGGCUUUGCUGUCACUCUUUGUCAGGUAUGUUUCCUGUGUUAUCCAGUGGCUUUAACAGGGUAAGAUCACUGUUAAAUAGCCACGUUCCAUGGAACUAGGUCGUUGGUUGAGGGAUAAUUAAAGUCAGUGAUUUAAACUUGUCUUGAUGGCUUCUCAGUCGCAGAUGUUCAGCGAGGGAGUCUUGUACACUCCGCAGAUCUGAUCAUUGCCUGUCCUGGAAAAUCUGACUGCAGCUUGGCCUGCAGCACAGUUUUCCUCUUACAGGGAGGAAAGAGUGAUGUUAUACACAGGAUAUCCUAUUUUUCUGCAUUAUUCUUUUGCUACUGCUGCUUGAGGUAGUUGAUGUGCAUAGGUCUUUAUUUUAGGUUAUGGCACAUGUAGAAAGUGCUGUGCAGGAGAUAUAGUACUGCAUCCUACAGUGCUGCAUUGCUUCUGCUACUUUUUAACUCAAACCAUUCCAGUACAUGUUAAGACAACAUCCCAUGUUUUUUCCAAUGUAAAACUGUGCACUGGGUUCCGUAAUCAGGACCACGAUGGCAAGCUCGUACAGUGCUUCACUUGUAAGACCGCUGAUUGCAAUACAGCAGUUUUAUUCUGACACCAC